AGGACGAACGCUGGCGGCAGGCUUAACACAUGCAAGUCGAGCGGGUAGCAAUACCAGCGGCAGACGGGUGAGUAACACGUGGGAACCUUCCUAGAGGUACGGAACAACGCAGGGAAACUUGCGCUAAUACCGUAUGUGCUCUUGCGAGGAAAGAUUUAUCGCCUUUAGACGGGCCCGCGUCGGAUUAGCUAGUUGGUGGGGUAAUGGCCUACCAAGGCAACGAUCCGUAGCUGAUCUGAGAGGAUGAUCAGCCACACUGGGACUGAGACACGGUCCAGACUCCUACGGGAGGCAGCAGUGGGGAAUCUUGGACAAUGGGCGCAAGCCUGAUCCAGCCAUGCCGCGUGAGUGAAGAAGGCCUUCGGGUUGUAAAGCUCUUUUGUCAGGGACGAUAAUGACGGUACCUGAAGAAUAAGCCCCGGCAAACUUCGUGCCAGCAGCCGC
rnacentral:rRNA from 1 species